GCCUGCCCAGCUUCUCAAUAUUCUAAAGGCACGAGACCCCAUCUGAUCUUGGAAGCUAAGCAGGGUGAACUCUGGUUAGUACUUGGAUGGAGGAUCAUCAAUGGACACCAGGGGCUGCAGGCU
rnacentral:rRNA from 1 species